GUUGUUUAUCUGCAGGUUUGCUC
rnacentral:siRNA from 1 species